CGUAACAGCUCACUAGUCAAGAGAUCUUGCGUGGAAAAUGUAACGGGGCUCAAGUAUAUUACCGAAGACAUGGAUUUGUAAUUUAUUACAAGUGGUAGAGGAGCGUUCCUCUCUGCAGUGAAGCUGGACUGGAAAGUCUGGUGGAGCGUGAGGAAGUGAGAAUGCUGGAAUGAGUAACCAUAAGACAGGUGAGAAUCCUGUCGGCCGAAAGAGCAAGGUUUCCUGGGCGAUGAUAAUCAUCCCAGGGUUAGUCGUGCCUAAGCCGAGGCGUUUAAGCGUAGGCGAUGGACAACGGAUUAAUAUUUCCGUACCGGUAACACUUUGUACACUAUUCACGGCAUAUUAGUCAGAGCGGAUUCAUGGUUAUAUCCGUCUAAGCAGUGUAACGGCUGCGAAUGCGAGUGCUCCUUUUAGGAGCGCGAGUCUGGCGAAGGUGCUGGCAAGAAAAGUAGUUGUACGCAUGGGUGUUGCCGCACGUACCGCAAACCAACACAGGUGCUCAGGUCGAGUAGACCAAGGCUUACGAGAGAACCUUCGCUAAGGAACUCGGCAAUACAGCGACCGUAACUUCGGGAUAAGGUCUGCCCUGUAUGCCGCUUUGUUUCUAAAAGCGUUAGUGUUUUAGUAUAUGUCCCUUGUGACAUUACUAUACCUUUUUAAACACAUCGAAUCUAAUAACUGAGAUAAGACAUAUAGAACAUAUGAAAAAAGCUUUUAGCGAUAGAGCGGCAUACAGGGCCGCAGCUAAGGAGCCCACGGAACUGUUUAUCAAAAACAUAGGUCUCUGCUAACACGAAAGUGGAUGUAUAGGGGCUGACUCCUGCCCAAUGCUGGAAGGUUAAGGGGAGCGCUUCACGGUGCGAACUGAAGCCCUAGUCAAUGGCGGCGGUAACUAUAACCGUCCUAAGGUAGCGAAAUUCCUUGUCAGGUAAGUUCUGACCCGCACGAAUGGAGUAAUCAUGUGGGCACUGUCUCAGCGAAGGACUCGGUGAAAGUGCAUUGGCGGUAAAGAUGCCGUCUGUCCGCACCAGGACGAAAAGACCCCGUGGAGCUUUACUAUAGCUUUACAUUGAAUCGGGUUACAACAUGUGUAGCAUAGGUGGGAGCCUUUGAAGCAGAUGCGCCAGCAUUUGUGGAGGCGCCGGUGAAAUACCACCCUUGUUGUGAUUUGAUUCUUACCUUGACCGUUAUCCGGUUAGGGGACAGUGUAUGGUGGAUAGUUUAACUGGGGCGGUUGCCUCCUAAAGAGUAGCGGAGGCGUUCAAAGGUUGGCUAGCUUCGGAUGGAAAUCGAAGUGAUAGUGCAUACGCAAAAGCCAGCUUGACUGUGAGGGCCACAACCCGAUCAGACACGAAAGUGGGAGUAAGUGAUCCGCUGUUAGUACAUUUGUACAUGAACGUGGGAUCGACAGCGCAAACGGAUAAAAGUUACCCCGGGGAUAACAGGCUUAUAGCGCCCAAUAGUUCACAUAGACGGCGCUGUUUGGCACCUCGAUGUCGGCUCAUCACAUCCUGGAGGGGGAGCACCUUCCAAGGGUUCGGCUGUUCGCCGAUUAAAGUGGUACGCGAGCUGGGUUCAGAACGUCGUGAGACAGUUCGGUUUAUAUCCGGUGUGGACGUCAGGAAAUUUGAGAGGAUCUGCUCCUAGUACGAGAGGACCGGAGUGGACGAACCUCUGGUGUAUCGGUUGUCCUACCAAGGGCAUUGCCGAGUAGCUAUGUUCGGACCAGAUAAGCGCUGAAAGCAUAUUAAGCGCGAAACUGACCUUAAGAUUAGAUUUCCCUAUGAGGACACAGAUAGACUAUCUGUUUGAUAGGCGCAAGGUGGAAGUACGGUAACGUAUGGAGCCGAAGCGUACUAAUAGUCCCAUUGCCUUUUUAUG
rnacentral:rRNA from 1 species